rnacentral:ncRNA from 1 species
CAUCGUCUUGGUCCCGAACAUUAAAUAACUUUUAGCUAGUACUACACAUGCAAACCUCCGUACUCCCGUGCCCCCGCCACCACUAUCAGCCCCGAGCCGGUAUCAGGCACACACCAGUAGCCCAAAACACCACGCCAGCGCCACACCCCCACGGGCCCCAGCAGUGACAGACCUUAAGCCAUGAGCCCACCAUCACAAGCUCGACCUAGAUAUAGCUACCCCUGAGCCGGCAAACUUCGUGCCAGCCGCCGCGGUUACACGAAGGGCCACAAGUAAUUUCCCCCGGCGUAAAGUGUGACUAAAGAACCGCUUUCCCAAACAAUGAAGCCUCAAUCCAAAUAUUAACGUAAAACACUUAUAUUCACGCGAAAACCGGCCCAGCUUCUAAACAAAAAGUACCAUGAUCCCACGAAACCUAAGACACAAACUAGGAUUAGACACCCUACUAUGCUUACACGCAUAAACCAAAAUCGUAAACUCCAAACCACGAUUCGCCCGAGGACUACAAGCGAAAAGCUUGAAACUCAAAGGACUUGACGGUGCCCCACCCCGCCCUAGAGGAGCCUGUCCCAUAAUCGAUAAUCCACGUUUUACCCAACCCCCUCAUGCACCAUCAGCCUAUAUACCGCCGUCGCCAGCCUACCUAAUGAUAGCAAUCACAGUAGACAAAAAAGUUUAUAACAAACACGUCAGGUCAAGGUGUAGCCAACGAGGGGGCGGAGAUGGGCUACAUUUUCUACCCUAAGAAAGCACCCACAGCACUAUGAAAUUAGGGCCACAAGAUGGAUUUAGCAGUAAGCCACGCAAGACCUGCUUGACUGAAGCUCGCCCUGGGACACGUACACACCGCCCGUCACCCUCCUCAAGCCGCCACCAAACACCAUAACUAAACCCACUAUUAGGCCUAAGAAGAGGUAAGUCGUAACAAGGUAAGCGCACCGGAAGGUGUGCUUGGAAGACA